rnacentral:sRNA from 1 species
GCUGGGAGUAGUGGUGCAUUCCUGUAAUCCCAAUAUCUCAGGGGGCUGAGGUGGGGGAUCCCAAGUUUGAGGUCAAUCUCAGCAACUUAGUGAGGCCCUGUCUCAA